GACAGUUCGGUCCCUAUCUGCCAUGGGCGUAGGAAAAUUGAGAGGGUUUGCUUCUAGUACGAGAGGACCGAAGUGAACGCACCGCUGGUGUUCGGGUUGUGAUGCCAAUUGCAUUGCCCGGUAGCUACGUGCGGAAUAGAUAAGUGCUGAAAGCAUCUAAGCACGAAACUAGCCUUGAGAUGAGUUUUCCCUGAAGAGAUUCAGUAAGGUCCGUUUGAGACUAAGACGUAGAUAGGUCAGGUGUGUAAGUGUAGUGAUACAUUGAGCUAACUGAUACUAAUGAACCGAGAGUCUUAACCUUACAACUC
rnacentral:rRNA from 1 species